GAUGAACGCUGGCGGCGUGCUUAACACAUGCAAGUCGAACGAUGAAGCCCAGCUUGCUGGGUGGAUUAGUGGCGAACGGGUGAGUAACACGUGAGUAACCUGCCCUUAACUCUGGGAUAAGCCUGGGGAACUGGGUCUAAUACCGGAUGGGAGCGCCUACCGCAUGGUGGGUGUUGGAAAGAUUUAUCGGUUUUGGAUGGACUCGCGGCCUAUCAGCUUGUUGGUGAGGUAAUGGCUCACCAAGGCGACGACGGGUAGCCGGCCUGAGAGGGUGACCGGCCACACUGGGACUGAGACACGGCCCAGACUCCUACGGGAGGCAGCAGUGGGGAAUAUUGCACAAUGGGCGAAAGCCUGAUGCAGCGACGCCGCGUGAGGGAUGACGGCCUUCGGGUUGUAAACCUCUUUCAGUAGGGAAGAAGCGAAAGUGACGGUACCUGCAGAAGAAGCACCGGCUAACUACGUG
rnacentral:rRNA from 1 species